CACUGAGGGAAUAUCUCUAACAUGCUAACGUAGCCUAGCUGAUUAACAUUAGUUACAGCCAGAACUCCACUGUUCAUAGCGAUCUAACGUUAGUGUGCUGCCAAAUGCUCACCUGGCACAAAUGGAUCUGUUGACUGACUAAUUAUAACAGUCUGUCGACUCAUUGACGUUUGGUUGAACUGAACACUAUUGCUUGGUUAUAAAAAAUUGCUGCUAGCUAACAUUAGCUGAGACCACGAGGGCAUUCGUUUAACUGUUAGGCAUUUGUAGCAAACAGAGGUGUAAGGUAACCGUUAGCCUGGUUGGUUUGGUGCAGUCUCCAUUCUCUGUAUGGCACUGGUAUUAGUUUCUGUUAGAGUCUGUUGGCUUUAUUUGGGUUAGAUCAAUUUCUUUGUUUCCUAACUUAUAAAGGGUGCAGGUAAGCCAAAGAGUAUAGAAGUUAGCUAGCUGAUACUAAUUUUAGAUAUUUGUAGAAAUUGUGGUUCAAUAGCUUGCAAGCACGUGCAUAAGGAUAUUCAGUCCAUCAGGCAUAACGUUACAGCUGAGCAGAGUAAGAAAUGUUUAUUCUCUGAAAUUAUGAGCAGUUUUUUUAUGGAUAUGGUAAAAUGUAGACGAGUUUACUGCCUAAUGAAAUUAUUUAAGUUAUUACCAGUCAUGUUGCUUAAAAAGUAGGGAUUAUAUGAACAUAUUUUAAGACAAAACACUUGCGGUUGAAACAUUUGGUAACCUGUGGUAAAUAAUGUCAGAAUAAAGUUUAGAAGUCCUUUGCUGGUUAGUUGAUAUACUGCUGAUAGUCAAAUCAUUGUUGUUCUUGUAUUGAUGUAAUCAUUUUCUUUGUUUUAACAGGGUCAGCAAAAUGCUCAUCAAUGUCCAGUACCAUGGAGAAAAAAGUACCUCAAACUGCAGCCUGGUUUUUCCUUUCAAAGUUUAAUUCGAGAAGGCACAUCAAUCCACUGGUGCAAAAGAAGAGAACACCUCUGCCAUAGGAGAUUCAGCAGAAAAAGGCCAAACAGAUGGUCCAGGAGGUUCUGGAGAAGAGUUAAAUGGGAGAGUAAAUAAUGGAGGAGUAUAGUAGAGCACCUUGACACACUGUACAAGAAGGCAUCUUCUGAAUAUCCUGGUCCAUGGGAUACCAGUACGAAGUCAAGGAAAAAGAUAUGCACUCGGCAUUGUGACUGUUUCCUAAUCUCAGGGAUCCUUACUCCACCAAUGGCUAUGAACACUUCUACGAUGCUGGAAGAGGGACGGGCUAUCUGGCAUGGCGCCUAAAGCAACGAGUGUCGCAGCGUUUGGUCAAGAACAGCUCGGGAGCCUUGGAAUACAUGAACACCAUGAGCUUUUUAAGGAGGUAGACUUUCUAAUGAGGAGACACAGCACUCAAAAAAUCCUCCAUAGAAAUGCAUGGGGUUAGUUUGUAACGUAUGGUGUUGUCUACAUAUAUCACACCCCCCUCCGUGGCAAAACGUGGACAUGUAAAUACAUUGAGCCAAUCAUGUGGUGUGUUGUGAAGACAUUGAUUGUGCCAAUCAUGUGUUGUGAUCUUGCCGCUGGAGCAAGAUUGGUGUUGUGAAGCCUGCCGAAAGUGCCCAAAAUGCGUUGCAAUAUGGCUGCUGAGUGGAGGGACUUGCCUAAAAGGACUUUGGGUAUACCCACAUGUAACAUCACUUCAUGGUGCAUUAUCCGUCUUGCUUAUGGAAAAUUGGCCCAUUAUUGCACAUCUCUAGUAAUAGGUUUGAAGCAAAACACAAGUUUGUGAAAUUGUAAAAAACUCUUGAUUAUAUUGUUUUAUUUCUUGUUUAUGAAAUGUUUACUCAGUGUUGCAGAGCAUUUUCAUGCAUAUGUGGUUAUGGAUUGUGAGGAACAUUGUUUUAUUGUUAAAGUCAAUGAUUUGUAUGAGUAUAAGGCCUUUGCUCAACAAAAUGCUUAUGGACCAAACUUUGACAUAUAUAUUGUACCUCUGCACAUUGAUUUGAGCCAUAUCAUGGCAAAUGUUAAUAAAAAAAGAAAAGUAAUUAA